rnacentral:rRNA from 1 species
GCUUAACACAUGCAAGUCGAACGGUAACAUUGGAGCUUGCUCCAGAUGACGAGUGGCGGACGGGUGAGUAAUGCAUAGGAAAUUGCCGAUUAGUGGGGGACAACAUGUGGAAACGCAUGCUAAUACCGCAUACGCCCUACGGGGGAAAGGUGGCCAAUCCUUGGAAGCUACCGCUAAUUGAUGUGCCUAUGUCUGAUUAGCUAGUUGGUGGGGUAAUGGCCCACCAAGGCGACGAUCAGUAGCUGGUCUGAGAGGAUGAUCAGCCACACUGGGACUGAGACACGGCCCAGACUCCUACGGGAGGCAGCAGUGGGGAAUAUUGGACAAUGGGGGCAACCCUGAUCCAGCAAUACCGCGUGUGUGAAGAAGGCUCGAGGGUCGUAAAGCACUUUCAAUAGUGAAGAUUGGAAUACAGGUUAAUACCCUGUGUUUUUGACGUUAACUAUACAAGAAGCACCGGCUAACUCAGUGCCAGCAGCCGCGGUAAUACUGAGGGUGCAAGCGUUAAUCGGAAUUACUGGGCGUAAAGCGCGCGUAGGCGGUAAGUUAAGUUGGAUGUGAAAUCCCUGGGCUCAACCUAGGAACUGCAUUCAAAACUGGCUCACUAGAGUAUGGUAGAGGUAAGUGGAAUUCCAGGUGUAGCGGUGAAAUGCGUAGAUAUCUGGAGGAACAUCAGUGGCGAAGGCGACUUACUGGGCCAAUACUGACGCUGAGGUGCGAAAGCAUGGGUAGCAAACGGGAUUAGAUACCCCGGUAGUCCAUGCCGUAAACGAUGUCAACUAGCCGUUGGGCCCGUUAGGGUUUAGUGGCGCAGCUAACGCAUUAAGUUGACCGCCUGGGGAGU